CAAAAACAUCGCCUCCUGGCUAAUCAUAAGAGGUCAAGCCUGCCCAGUGACAUUGUUCAACGGCCGCGGUAUCCUAACCGUGCGAAGGUAGCGUAAUCACUUGUUCUUUAAAUGAGGACUAGUAUGAACGGCUUCACGAGAGCUAUGCUGUCUCCUUUAUCCAAUCAGUUAAACUAAUCUCCCCGUGAAGAAGCGGGGAUAAGCCUAUAAGACGAGAAGACCCUGUGGAGCUUUAAACACCUUAAACAUUUGUAUUUAACCUAUUAACCUUCCUGUAAAUUCCACUAAGCCCAUCAUUCUGUUUUAAGUUUUAGGUUGGGGUGACCACGGAGAAUAACCCACCCUCCACGUAGAAAGAACCUUACUUCUAAGCGAAAAGCUACACCUUUAUGCAUCAACACAUUGACCUAAAUUGACCCAAUUUCUUUGAUCAACGAACCAAGUUACCCUAGGGAUAACAGCGCAAUCCACCUUAAGAGCUCCUAUCGACAGGUGGGUUUACGACCUCGAUGUUGGAUCA
rnacentral:rRNA from 1 species